rnacentral:lncRNA from 1 species
AAAGACACGAUUGUUAGUAUCCGAGGUCACAAGUUCGAAUCCUGAUUGAUUCAUAUUUCUAGCUUAGUUUAUUUCUAAAUGAAAUAAACGAAGCGAAUAGCGUACUAUCUAUCUGUCAAAAAAAUUAUUAUUAUAAUAUCAAAUUAAAAUUUUAAAAUUAAUAUAAUAAGUUUUACAGUUUAGUUAUUUAAAUAAUAUGGCGGUGAAAUAGCAACAGUAUUUUAAUUAAUAAUAUGUAAAUAACUAAAUAUAUCAUAUUAUUAAUUAUUAUGAGUUGAGCUGGAAUAUUUUCGGUAGCAAACAGGCUCAGUUACCAUCCAUUUAUUUUCGAUGAUGGAAUCUUAAAAUUGACGAUCGGCACUGUUGAAUAUGAUCUAUACCGCUUUGAAAUAUUUAUAAACUAAAUUUUGUAUUUUUUUUAUUUUGUUCUCUCGUCCAUCAAGUGGACAAAAAAAUGAACGACUAAAAAUAAAUAUUUUCUAAAAAGUGAUAAUAGAAAUCUUGUAAUCAAGGUCGAGAAUAUAGAUCUUAUUCUAAAUAAUUUAAAAAAUUUUCUAACCAAAAUUCAAUUGAUUUGGAUAUCGUUACACCGUUAAAAUGAGAAAACUCCUCAUAUCGACCAUUACAAUAUAAAUUUUGAAAUUUUUUUUAUCACUAGGUCAAUAAUGUCGAAAAGAUUUAAAAUUUAGUUUCUAGAUACUUCAAUGGUAUAAAUCAUAUUCAACGAUGCCGAUCGUCGAUUUCAGGCUCAUCACCGAAAACAAAUGAAUGGCAACGGAGCCUGUUUGCUACCAAUAACGUUCCAACUCAAUUUUAAUUAUCAUAUCAACAUUUCAUCAUUAUAAAGUCACUAAAAUAUUAAAAUUUAAAUUCGAUUGCAAUAAUAUGAAAAAUUUUAAUAAAAUAUUAAGAAAAUAUAAAAUAGGUAAUAGUUUGAGAAUCAAAAUAACACUCUACACCUUUUAAUUUAGGGUUAAUUUCGUACAAGUCCCUACAAACAUAGUAAAUUACAAAUAUAUUUCUAUAAAAUUGAACUUUUAUAUAUUAUUUCUGUAAAACUUAUGAUAUUUUUAAAUAUAUCCCUGCCGUUAGAAUCCGUUAGAAAAUUUUAGUUAAUCAUAGAUUAAAUACUUAAUCCUAAUUAGUAUUUUAUAUUUUUACCCUUUUAUAUGAUUUUUGAAAGGACAUUUUUGUGAUAACAAAAUUGAAAAUAUAAACAGUUCUCUAACGAUUCUCUAACAGUAACAAAAUAAAAAGACAUACUUAAAAACAUCAGGAUUUCUGCAGAGACACCAUAUGAAAAUUAAACUUUAUAAGGACAUAUUUAUAAUUUACUAUAUUUAUAGGGACCUGUUUAAAAUUAACGCAAUUUAUUUUAAUUUAAUAGCCGUAGU